GUGGGGCCUCCUGAUCUGUUCCCCCUCUCUAAUCCUUGCUACCUGGGUGAGAGUGCUUUCUGAAUGCAAUGCACCUGGGCAAGGAUUCUGAGAGUGAGAGCUUCAUCUUCACGUAAGGAC
rnacentral:pre_miRNA from 12 species